rnacentral:rRNA from 1 species
UAUUAUUUUAAUUAUAAAAUGCAAAGGCCUGAGUAGUAUUAGGUAAUAUCUUGAAACUCAAAGAAUUUGGCGGUGUUUCAGUCUUUUCAGAGGAAUCUGUUCUGUAAUCGUUAAUACACGUUAAAUGUCACUUGUCAUUGUAUAAUCAAUUUGUAUACCGCCGUCAUCAGAAUAUUUUUUUAGAGGAUUAAUUUUCUGGAUAUUUAAUAAAUAGAAUGUCAGGUCAAGGUGCAGUUUAUGGGCAAGAAGAAAUGGAUUACAAUAGAAUUAUUUAAACGGAAUUUGUAAUGAAAGAUAUAGAGGAAGGUGGAUUUGAAAGUAAUAUUGUCAUAUUAUGGUAAUAUGACUUAAGCGCUGAAACAUGCACACAUCGCCCGUCGCUCUCAUUAUUAAAAUGAG